rnacentral:rRNA from 1 species
AACGAACGCUGGCGGCAGGCUUAACACAUGCAAGUCGAGCGCCCCGCAAGGGGAGCGGCAGACGGGUGAGUAACGCGUGGGAAUCUACCGUGCCCUACGGAAUAGCUCCGGGAAACUGGAAUUAAUACCGUAUACGCCCUACGGGGGAAAGAUUUAUCGGGGUAUGAUGAGCCCGCGUUGGAUUAGCUAGUUGGUGGGGUAAAGGCCUACCAAGGCGACGAUCCAUAGCUGGUCUGAGAGGAUGAUCAGCCACAUUGGGACUGAGACACGACCCAAACUCCUACGGGAGGCAGCAGUGGGGAAUAUUGGACAAUGGGCGCAAGCCUGAUCCAGCCAUGCCGCGUGAGUGAUGAAGGUCUUAGGAUUGUAAAGCUCUUUCACCGGUGAAGAUAAUGACGGUAACCGGAGAAGAAGCCCCGGCUAACUUCGUGCAGCCGCCGCCGUAACAC